rnacentral:rRNA from 1 species
GUCCGAUUGGCUGGUUGGCGGGGUAAUGGCCCACCAAGGCGACGAUCGGUAGCUGGUCUGAGAGGAUGAUCAGCCACACUGGGACUGAGACACGGCCCAGACUCCUACGGGAGGCAGCAGUGGGGAAUAUUGGACAAUGGGCGCAAGCCUGAUCCAGCCAUGCCGCGGGGGUGAAGAAGGCCUUCGGGUUGUAAAGCCCUUUUGUUGGGAAAGAAAUCCAGCUGGUUAAUACCCGGUUGGGAUGACGGUACCCAAAGAAUAAGCACCGGCUAACUUCGUGCCAGCAGCCGCGGUAAUACGAAGGGUGCAAGCGUUACUCGGAAUUACUGGGCGUAAAGCGUGCGUAGGUGGUCGUUUAAGUCCGUUGUGAAAGCCCUGGGCUCAACCUGGGAACUGCAGUGGAUACUGGGCGACUAGAGUGUGGUAGAGGGUAGCGGAAUUCCUGGUGUAGCAGUGAAAUGCGUAGAGAUCAGGAGGAACAUCCAUGGCGAAGGCAGCUACCUGG